rnacentral:rRNA from 1 species
GAUGACGCUGGCGGCGUGCCUAAUACAUGCAAGUCGAACGAGGAGCCUCACAUCUUCGGAUGAGGGGAUUUCCUAGUGGCGGACGGGUGCGUAACACGUGGGUGACCUGCCCCGAAGUGGGGAAUAACUCCGCGAAAGCGGAGCUAAUACCGCAUGAUGUCGCGCGAGUUAGAGGUCGCGCAUCUAAAGAUUUCGGUCGCUUCGGGAGGGGCCCGCGGCCCAUCAGCUAGUUGGUGGGGUAAUGGCUCACCAAGGCUAUGACGGGUAGGGGACCUGAGAGGGUGAACCCCCACACUGGAACUGAGACACGGUCCAGACACCUACGGGUGGCAGCAGUAGGGAAUAUUGCACAAUGGGCGAAAGCCUGAUGCAGCAACGCCGCGUGCGCGAUGAAGGCCUUCGGGUCGUAAAGCGCUUUUCGGAGGGAUGAAUCAAGACAGUACCUCCAGAAUAAGGAUCGGCUAACUACGUGCCAGCAGCCGCGGUAAAACGUAGGAUCCAAGCGUUAUCCGGAAUUACUGGGCGUAAAGGGCGUGUAGGCGGCUUGGCAAGUCGGUCAUGAAAGCUCCCGGCUCAACUGGGAGAGGUUGUCCGAUACUGCCAAGCUAGAGGGCAAGAGAGGGAGGUGGAAUUCCCGGUGUAGUGGUGAAAUGCGUAGAUAUCGGGAGGAACACCAGUGGCGAAGGCGGCCUCCUGGCUUGUUCCUGACGCUGAGGCGCGAAAGCGUGGGGAGCGAACGGGAUUAGAAACCCCGGUAGUCCACGCUGUAAACGAUGUCAACUAGGUGUCGGCGGUGUAGAAUCCGUCGGUAUCGAAGCAAACGCGUUAAGUUGACCGCCUGGGGACUACGAUCGCAAGAUUAAACUAAUGGAU